GCGGAAGUGGCGGAAUUGGUAGACGCGCUAGGUUCAGGUCCUAGUGGGUGCAAGCCCGCGGGGGUUCGAGUCCCCCCUUCCGCA
rnacentral:tRNA from 1 species